AAAAAAAAAAAAAAAAAGAAGUCAUGUUUGAAUAUUCCUUUGGGGCUUUUGUUUCCUCAUGUUUGCUCUCAAAACAUCAGAAUGCCACAGAAGUUUGUUAAUUCUCUGGAUCAAUUGAGGAAGGAAAAGCAUCAGCACCUCCUCAAGAAUGCCAUAGGAGGUGUGUGCUGGGAUGCUCUGAGCUCUGCAGCAGUGAUGCAUGCAGCUGGAGAUGUUGAAGGUCAGAUGCAGGUGGUCAAGCAUUUUAGUUUCCUGUGGCUACUGUAAUAACUAAAGUGGCUGAAAACAACAGGAAUUCAUUAUCUUACAGUUCUGGAGACAAGAAGUCCAAAAUCACUUUCACUGAACUAGAAUUGAGGUGGUGGCAGGACCUUGGUCCUUCUGAAGGCUCUGGGGGUGAAUCUGCUCUGUGCCUCUCCCAGGUUCCAGAGGCUGCCAGCAUUCCUGGGCCUGUGGCAACAUCACUCCACUCUGUGCCUCCAUGGCCUCAUUAUCUCCUCCUUUUCUGUCUGUAUCAAAUUUCUCCCUGCCUCCCUCUUAUAAGGCACAUGUGAUUGCAUUUAGGGCCCAUGCAGGUAAUCCAAGAUGAUCUUCCCAUGUAUAAUUAUUUGCUUAAUCCACAUCCGCAAAGAGCCAUUUUCCUUAGAAGGUGACAUUUACAGCUUCCAGGGAUUAGAACCUGACAUCUCAGUAAGCCAUUAUUGAGCCUAUCAUACUGAGCCUAGAUCCCUCCUGUUGGCCUCAUAUAUUCAUGGAGGACAAAGGAAAAGGCUAAAGGCCAGAGACCAGCAGAAGAGUGCAUUCUUGCUUUCCAGAUUCGGGUGAACUGUCAUAAUCAGUGUCUGGCAGAACAAAAGACUGAGGGAAAAAGUUGAAGCAAUGCAAAGCCCCAGAGUGACCACAAUGGCAUGAUUACUGCUGAGUUUGUUUAUGAGAGGAAAGAAAGCAGCCAUGUUGGAAAGCCUUGGGCGGUUUUCAUAUCCUGGAAGUUAUGUAGAAAUAGCUGGAGAGGAAUGCAUCAUUCAGGAGUGUAAAACAAUUUCUUGUUUAAACAGACCCCAAGGCUUGAGUGGUUAAAAAAAUUCCUCCCAGAGAGUGGAAAUGAAAAAAGCCCUUCAAAAGGUUAUUAAUGUGGCCACUUGCAGACAAGGGAACACAUCACGCGGAGUCUCUUGCUGAUUUUACCCCAUGGAGACUGGUUGUGGAUGACGAACGAUAAAAUGGAAGCAUCCAGCAGUGGAGAGAUCAACUGUGUUUGGAAGAGAUCAGAUAGUGUUUAUGAGCACACUGCAUGCCAUAAUUCUGAAGAAUCCAGAGGUAAAAGGUAUUUUACAAGAAACAAAUAUAGUUCUUGUAAUGGAAGCAUUUAGAUGUCACUAUGAAGAGGAGUGAUGGAAAUUCAUAGCAAAUAUAAGGUAGACAAGUUGAUUCUAACUUGGUUCUGGCUUCCUUCUUCUGCAAAGAGAGAGAGAAAUAGCUGAAGGUGAAGCCUUCAACCCUGGGGUUCAACAAUUUGAAACUGCUUCACACCAAGAGCAGAGAAACUCGCUCUGUGGUUAUCACCUCAGAGAGACACAAUACCCAAAACCUGAGAACAUUCGCCUUGUUUUGUUGGAGUCAACACAUCUGCCAGGUUAUCUGUCUUCAGUCAACAUGGCUCAUAGAAAUCCAUGCUGAAUUAUUUUUUAGGAAGUUCGGUUUUGUUGACGAUGGAGUUAAAUGUUAUUCGUGUUAAAGUGAGUCUUUAAGAAGAUGGCCGGCUGUGUUUCUACAUAGUUUUGACAUCUGUCUUCAUUUCUCAUUUUUCCUCUAAGAUGUUCUGCACAUAUUUGUCAAUUUCUGUGGUCUGACUCAGAGCACAGGAAGUGUGGGUACUUCUGCUGGUGUCAAUCAUUGGGACUGGAUUAUGUCUAAGCAUCUUCAACCUCACAGGGAGGAGCUUGACCGGAGAAAGAGGCUGAGAACUGCUUCUCUUACCAAGGACCUUCCCCAAGCCAGGCAUCUCCGGAGAUGGUAUGGAGCCUGGGGUAGCUCGGCCAGGCCUUUGAUCACCAGCGAUGCCAUUGCUCUUCCCCGUUUCGCGUCUGCUGUGGCUUGCUGCUGAGGCUGCUUUCAGACCUCUGGAAUCAGAAAAGGAGGUGACUAUAUCAGGUUGAAUGCCUUGAUGGUCUAGACGUGUGACACUUGCUGCAUUUAUGAGACUGGAGGUGGGGCCCCACCCAAGUUCUGCUUCCAGAGGAGGAGGCAAGACCAAGACACCAAAACAAGGUUCAGCAGAGGACACAUCUGGAACCCCUUUCCUGCUGGAGUGGACAGUGGAGGCAGCGCCACAGUGGAUUUUCAUUGGUGUCUCCCCUGGCUGCCUGGUGGCUGCCUGUCAGAGCCAGCGCUUGAGAACGUGGCUGCUAGUGAAAGUGUUUAUGUGUUUAUGUGACCACAGGUAGCAAACAGAUAAGAAACUAUCCGACUGAGGAGCAGCAAGGGUCUGGAGCUACUGCGAUUGGGUGACCUGGGUAGAGACCCUCCUGGAGAUUUCACUCUGACUAGAACUGGAAGGACAAACCCACCGCAGGAGAACCUUCAGGAGUGAGGCUAACUCAUCUGUGCCACUUAAUGCCGGAGUAACAAAGCCCCCAUCCACUGAGGACGGAGAGAGCAGAUUGUAAGGAGAGAGCAGAUUGUGUGGAGAGGCAGGGGUUUCUGUCACGUAGAAAGCAUCUUGUACAAUGUCUGACACACAGCAAGUGACCAAAAUGUGCCAGGCUGGUCCACCCAGUGCUCUCCAAACACCGUGGUCGCUUGCAUCUGUGGGAUUUUGCUGGUGAUCCUUCCCUAUUUAUCUGAGAUAAAGAAAUUGAAGAACCAUGAAAUUAAGGCACAUUGCCACAUCAUACAGUGGGCAAAUGCUGGAACAAGGUUAGAAUUCCCUUCUGUCUGAAUACUGUUUUAAAAAGUACUCCAA
rnacentral:lncRNA from 1 species